CACGUAGGGGGCGAGCGUUGUCCGGAUUUAUUGGGCGUAAAGAGCUCGUAGGCGGCUCAGUAAGUCGGGUGUGAAAACUCCAGGCUCAACCUGGAGACGCCACCCGAUACUGCUGUGGCUAGAGUCCGGUAGGGGAGCAUGGAAUUCCUGGUGUAGCGGUGAAAUGCGCAGAUAUCAGGAGGAACACCAGUGGCGAAGGCGGCCCUCUGGCUCGACCCUGACGCUGAGAGGCGAAAGCGUGGGGAGCAAACAGG
rnacentral:rRNA from 1 species